UUGCUGACGAGUGGCGGACGGGUGAGUAAUGUCUGGGAAACUGCCUGAUGGAGGGGGAUAACUACUGGAAACGGUGGCUAAUACCGCAUAACGUCGCAAGACCAAAGAGGGGGACCUUCGGGCCUCUUGCCAUCAGAUGUGCCCAGAUGGGAUUAGCUAGUUGGUGAGGUAACGGCUCACCAAGGCGACGAUCCCUAGCUGGUCUGAGAGGAUGACCAGCCACACUGGAACUGAGACACGGUCCAGACUCCUACGGGAGGCAGCAGUGGGGAAUAUUGCACAAUGGGCGCAAGCCUGAUGCAGCCAUGCCGCGUGUAUGAAGAAGGCCUUCGGGUUGUAAAGUACUUUCAGCGGGGAGGAAGGUGUUGUGGUUAAUAACCGCAGCAAUUGACGUUACCCGCAGAAGAAGCACCGGCUAACUCCGUGCCAGCAGCCG
rnacentral:rRNA from 1 species